rnacentral:ncRNA from 2 species
CGCCCUGCAGGAGAUGGCAUUCCUCCCAGAACCGCCGCGCCGCCCUCCGGUGCAGCUGAUGAUGCCUACGUAACC